CAAUUGAGACAGGUGGUGCAUGGUUGUCGUCAGCUCGUGUCGUGAGAUGUUGGGUUAAGUCCCGCAACGAGCGCAACCCUUGUGUUUUAGUUGCAAACAGGUCAAGCUGUGCACUCUAGACAGACUGCCGUGGACAACACGGAGGAAGGUGGGGAUGACGUCAAAUCAUCAUGCCCCUUAUGAUCUGGGCUACACACGUGCUACAAUGGCCGGUACAACGGGCAGCGAAGGAGCGAUCCGGAGCGAAUCCUAAAAAGCCGGUCCCAGUUCGGAUUGCAGGCUGAAACUCGCCUACAUGAAGUUGGAGUUGCUAGUAAUCGCGAAUCAGAAUGUCGCGGUGAAUGCGUUCCCGGGUCUU
rnacentral:rRNA from 1 species